UACGUAGGGGGCAAGCGUUGUCCGGAAUCAUUGGGCGUAAAGGGCGCGUAGGUGGUUUUGUAUGUCUACCGUGAAAGCAUACAGCUCAACUGUAUUUUGUCGGUAGAAACUGCAGGACUUGAGGCUGGGAGGGGCUGGUGGAAUUCCCUGUGUAGCGGUGAAAUGCGUAGAGAUGGGGGAGAACACUCGUGGCGAAGGCGGCCAGCUAGACCAGUUCUGACACUGAGGCGCGACAGCGUGGGGAGCAAACAGG
rnacentral:rRNA from 1 species